UAGAGUUUGAUCAUGGCUCAGGAUGAACGCUAGCGACAGGCUUAACACAUGCAAGUCGAGGGGCAUCGGGGCGAGGAGCAAUCCUUGCCGCCGGCGACCGGCGCACGGGUGAGUAACGCGUAUGCGACCUGCCCGUUGCAGGGGGAUAAUCGGGAGAAAUCCCGUCUAAUACCGCGUAACGCCGCGGGGCUGCAUGGCCCUGCGGCCAAAGGAAGCGAUUCCGGCAACGGAUGGGCAUGCGUGACAUUAGCUAGUUGGCGGGGCAACGGCCCACCAAGGCGACGAUGUCUAGGGGUUCUGAGAGGAAGGUCCCCCACACUGGUACUGAGACACGGACCAGACUCCUACGGGAGGCAGCAGUGAGGAAUAUUGGUCAAUGGGCGCGAGCCUGAACCAGCCAAGUCGCGUGAGGGAUGACGGCCCUACGGGUUGUAAACCUCUUUUGUCGGGGAGCAAAUUCCGCCACGUGUGGCGGAGUCGAGAGUACCCGAAGAAAAAGCAUCGGCUAACUCCGUGCCAGCAGCCGCGGUAAUACGGAGGAUGCGAGCGUUAUCCGGAUUUAUUGGGUUUAAAGGGUGCGUAGGCGGACUGUCAAGUCAGCGGUAAAAUACGGGGGCUCAACCUCCGCCCGCCGUUGAAACUGACGGUCUUGAGUGGGCGAGAAGUAUGCGGAAUGCGUGGUGUAGCGGUGAAAUGCAUAGAUAUCACGCAGAACUCCGAUUGCGAAGGCAGCAUACCGGCGCCCAACUGACGCUGAAGCACGAAAGCGUGGGUAUCGAACAGGAUUAGAUACCCUGGUAGUCCACGCAGUAAACGAUGAAUACUAGCUGUCCGGGGCGAAUGAGCCCUGGGUGGCACAGCGAAAGCGUUAAGUAUUCCACCUGGGGAGUACGCCGGCAACGGUGAAACUCAAAGGAAUUGACGGGGGCCCGCACAAGCGGAGGAACAUGUGGUUUAAUUCGAUGAUACGCGAGGAACCUUACCCGGGCUCAAACGACACAGGAACGUACCUGAAAGGGUUCGGCUCUACGGAGCCUGUGUCGAGGUGCUGCAUGGUUGUCGUCAGCUCGUGCCGUGAGGUGUCGGCUUAAGUGCCAUAACGAGCGCAACCCCCAUCGACAGUUGCUAACAGGUCAGGCUGAGGACUCUGUCGAGACUGCCGGCGCAAGCUGCGAGGAAGGCGGGGAUGACGUCAAAUCAGCACGGCCCUUACGUCCGGGGCGACACACGUGUUACAAUGGCAGGUACAGCGGGAAGCCACCUGGCGACAGGGAGCGGAACCCGAAAGCCUGUCUCAGUUCGGAUUGGAGUCUGCAACCCGACUCCAUGAAGCUGGAUUCGCUAGUAAUCGCGCAUCAGCCACGGCGCGGUGAAUACGUUCCCGGGCCUUGUACACACCGCCCGUCAAGCCAUGGAAGCCGGGGGUGCCUGAAGUGCGCUGCCGCGAGGAGCGCCCUAGGGUAAAACCGGUGACUGGGGCUAAGUCGUAACAAGGUAACCGUA
rnacentral:rRNA from 1 species